CAGGUGAGACAGCAUCCAUAUCUGCAAAAUGGACAUGAGGUACUUCACCUGGAAGUGCCAGCUCUAUCAUCCAUCCCAUCCCACUUGUUUUGCUUUGCUGAUCGUGGAAGAAAGGCCUCAAUUUCCAGUAACCUGGGAUGUCCUCUGUGUAGGCAAGCAUGCUGGGGAAAGUGCUACUGAGAAACAGACCCAAAGAUGCUGUCCCCACAAACAAGAAGACAACGCUGGAGGAGAAAAUCAGGAGCAGGAGGAAAGUUAUCAGGACUCCAACCUGCAAGCAACAAGCACAGAGUCAGCAGGAGGGCAAAUGCUGAAUUACAAUAAAGACACGGGGAUGGAGAUGAGCCUGCCCAGCGUGAUGAAUCCCCAGAAGAGGCUGGGCAGGUAGCCAGCCACCUUGUGUACUACAGAGAGAGGCUCUUCCACGGCGUAGCUGUAAAUGAAGCCUGAGUACUCUCCCUGUGGGGAAAAACAGAACAGCACGUCAUGGUGAUGUGAUGAUUUCCAGGCUUUGCAGCGUUAACUUCAACCUGUCCUUAAGUAUUGAUAAUGCAGUACUGCAGGAGAGCCCACCUAUGGAUUUGCUACUGAACCUCAAUGACCCUUAUUCCCAAGAGUUUGCAGCUGGGGACAGAAGUAGAACACAGGACUGAGACACUCCUAAAAGGGCACCACUGGACAGCUGCACUAGGUAAAAUGCGUGCUAAGCUCUUACCCAUAGAGAUGCUCUCUUCCCUUAAGACUGUCUCGGAACUGCAUACUCUGAGCACAUCUCACAGUGAGAACUCAGUCAUCCUUGAAGAUGGAAGCCCUAGAGAGGUUCUGUCUCUGACAGCUGCUCGGUGUAACCCCACUCAUCUUCCCAGAUCCUGUUUAAGGCCUUAAUGAGACUCAGCAGUAUUUUGCCACGAGUAUACUGAGACAAAAAGCUGUUUGAAGGAGCAGCAGCCAAAUGAGCCCUCCUCAUCUGGACAAGCGCUAUGAGCCCCAUGUGACUGCCCUGCUGGAGGAUGUGCUGUCAUGCCACUACAGAUAGACUGCACGCAUGCUUUCCUCUUGGAUAUUGUGGACCCAGCAAGCAAAGAACCUCUGUUUCUUAUGACAUGAAGAUGUUUUUACAUCCUGGCUAAAGUGAGAAGAGACUUCCACUGCCUGCAAGGACACCAUCACAACUCCAGCUCCACACUGGCUAGGAGAGCAGCAGUAGCCAUCUAGCUGCAACAGCACAGAGCCUAGGAGAAGGCACACAACCCUGCCAAGAAGCAGGGAACGUGUCAGCCAGAGCCAUCAGCUUUUAAUGAGCUACCUGGGGAACCUGACUGCUGCACCAUCAGGUCCAGCCCACUGCACACAGGGGACACAUGGGUGUCUCUGGGUAUGGGCUGUUGCAAGUGAUUUGGGAGGAGGAAAGCCGUAGAGCUUUGCUCAGACAAGAUCCUUCUAUCGGCUGAACUCACCACAAUCCCAUCAGUCAUGAAGAGAACAAGAGCCCCAGUGAUGUGGACUGCGAAGUAGGUGUAAGAAGCCCCUCUGAAGUUUUUGCUUUGGCAGCAGCUAAAUAAGUCAUCAUGACCUGGUGAAAAACAAUGCAAAGCAAACUUAGCUGGAACGUCCCCCUGGGGCUGGGUAGUUGCCAGCCCGCAAUGGGGAUUUGUUUUGUGCUCAGCUGCAGGACAGAGAUUCAUAGGGACUGUGAACAACAUGCAGUGCUGCUAACCUCUGCCAGCACAGUGUCUUUUAUUGUUAACCUACCUAAACCUUCAGAAGGGAUACGGCUAUGUUCGUAGGCUGACUGUCUCAGACUGGAAUCCCAGCUCUCCAGGAUGUUUGCUCACAAAAGCUGCUUAUGCUUCCCUUCCCAUUCAGCAGCAGCUCCACAUUGCUGCUCCCGUUCUUGAAAGAAAUAAACCCAUUCAGCCCCAGCACUCAUCCUCAGAGCUCCUCAUACACGGUACAACCACACCGGAGCCCUGCCAUCACAUUUCUCAGCUAAAAGGUCCUGAACCAAACAAGCCAACUCUGGGAAAGAGGAUGAUAGACCCACAGCCUGCUGUCACCUCCUCUGACAACCACUGACAACAUAAGUCUAUCCAAGCCAGCUGGGAGUCAGCACCCCAGUGUGCCCAACUGUCCCAUCCUCAGGCUCACACCGCACUGCCGAUUAUUCCUGCACUGGCAAAGAGGAAAUCCUCACCACUUCUAUGAGGAAAGGAGGGAUUUUUGCCAGCAUAGAAACAUCUGUCAAAGAUCACAGUAGUCAGCCAUGCAGCCGUCCUGCUUCUCUAAGGAUUGCUCUCAAAUGCAUUUAAGAAAAGGAUGGAGGUGAGAAGAAUGUGAAGCUCCAAUGGGUUGUAUGAGAAGGGGCAGCUGGGUUGAGGAAAGGCACACGUAAUGUCUCAGCUAAGGGGAGUGCUGUUAGAUGAACACAACCCUACUAGACACCAGAGAACCCACACCUUUAGGCGCAUUCCUUGCAGCACCUCAGCACAUCUCCAGCUGCCUCCACUUCUUUCCAGCACUCCCUAAAAUUGUACUGGUGGGGUAAAGCUGCCACUCCUGCAACAGUGCUCAUCUCACAACAAGAUGUGAUUGCUUCAGAGGUUCACUGUGUAGCUGGAGGAUUUGCUUGGAUAACAUUUCUCUUGGGCAGCAGAGAACAACACGACGCUGGCUGUAGUCACCAGUUCAGACUAUGGCUGGUGCUUAACUUUGUCUCAAACAAAAGCACUGUCCUUACACCUCUCAGAUUCACACCAAUCAGCAUUCUGCAGCAAUCACUGCCUUCACAUGGAGCAGACAGAGGAGCCAGCUCUAAACCUGACCUGAAACCAGGAGGAAAUAGAGGGGCAGAGCUUUCACGUGCGCCUGCAUGACCUGGGAGUGUGGGUUUAAUUUCAGGGCAGCUCACAGGAAAGCAGCCUGGAAACCCUGCAGCCCCAUCGGAUCUGAGGGCAAUUGGGCACCAAACCGAUGGGACCAUUUGGCCACUUUUGGAUCACAUUCAUCUAUGUUUUGGAAAGUUUUCUCCUUAGACAAUAGCAAUUAAGCUCACUUGUUAAACACCAUGGAGACAUUCAGAAAGAAGGCUUUUUCUCCCUCGGCUCAUCCCUUCCCCGUUCCCCAGAGCCAUAAGAGAAGUGCUUGCAGCUCACCUCCUGCAGCGUGGGCUCUGUGCACAGAGGUGGACAGGUCGUCCUUCUCCACAGGACGUGCUUCCAUCGCCAGCUCAUCUGCUGACAGCAGUGGGUGGCUGCUGCUGUUGAAGCACGGCACCAUGCGCUCCUUGUAGAGCAGGAAGAACACCGCGAUGGGCACCGGCAGCUGGGGAGGAGCAGAGAGGGGCAGGUAAAGGCAAUGCACAGCUCAUACAAACUGCAGUUCCUCAUUCACAAGGGCAUUUCGGGGAGCCCAACCCAUCCCCACUAAGUACGUCCCUCAAUGCCACAUCUAUGUGUUCCUUGGACACCUCUGGGGGUGGUGGAGUCGCCAUCCAGCUCCACCAACGCACAUCUGCCUCCACCCAGAGAAUAAGCAAAUAGUUUUUGCCCAUGGAGAGCAGAGUGAUAUGAAUGAGAGGCCUUGGGCUGAAACUGUGGGGAGCAAGCAAGCUGCUCCAAGCCCUGCUUUGCCCAUCUCCAGCCAUUAGCAGGGGUUGCUCAGCAUCUCAUGAGAGAUGAGCUCCUGGUUCCCAGGCCAACGACUGCAGCCGGACAGCUGCAAACAGCCCCUCAGCCCAGCCUAUGCUGCAGGACCUGGGAUGCAGGCACCCGCUAAUCCACAGCUGUGUGACAUCCAGUACUGCAUGUCCCCACCUAGGGACAAAACACAGGGACAGUGAGCUCAGACCUGCCCUUGGGGCCCCCUGCGCACACCCCGACUUGGUGGUGCCUGCAAACCCAGCGGGACUGCUCUUUUUUAGGGGAAUGAAAAUAGAGGGAAGUAAAUGAAAAGCUGGGUCUGCCCCUGAGCAGCCUCCUCCUCCCUGCAACUGAGUGGUGUUUAUUCUGCAACAAAUGGGGAGAAAGCCAGGAAAUCCUAAGUGACAGCUCACUCUCCAGCCGCCCAGCUCUUGUUUUCUCCAUGUCUGUGAACAAGUGUGAGCUCGAGCUCCAAAUUUCCUGCUUUUUGUUGGCUUGUGGCAUUAUUUAAAUGUAUGGAGAAUUCCCCCCACACCCGCCUCUCUUGCCUGAAUUCAUUUAUGAGGACUUCAUUGUUCUGGGAACAAUGGGAAUAGGAACAGUGAGUUCGGUCCCAUGGAAGAAAAAUGCAUUUGCUUGAUAGUUCUAAUCCUUCCGGAGGUCAGGAGCAGAUUUUAUUCUUCUAAAUUGCAAAUUUUGCAAAAUAAAGAAACCUCACAAAGAAAAGAAAAACGAACCAGAGGGACUGGCCAUAAAGAUAACAGCUCCAGGCACUCCAGGAGCACUUAACACCUGCACGGAGGGCACGGUGCUGGGAUCCCCAGUUCCCAAUGGGACCGUGCAUGCAUCCCAUCUCUAAAGCAAGCUGCUCCCUUUCCCUGUAUCCGGAUGAUAUCUCAAAGCUGGUGGUGCACAAAAGCCCAGACCCUACAGGGCUGGUCACUGAUAGCUCUCAGCUCUGGCUCUCUCUGGUAUUAGAUUCCCAAAAGCUGUGACCCUGUGGCACAGCCUGGCCAUAAACCCAGGCUGUACACAGGGACAGGGUGUCCUGGGAAGCACUUCGCUUGUUACACGGGCAGUUGGAGAGGAACAAACAGAGCUGAAUGCCGACACACUGCAUGGGCACGCAUCACCCAGCACUGGGACAGCCCACAUUGCAGGCACAGCUGCCCCAUCCCAACCCUUCUACUCCCAGCAGGUGCUCCGGGAGCCAAAGGAGCCAUCACCCCCGCCCCUUGCAGGUAUUAAUCAUUAUAAGCUCAAUGAUCUCUUGCAUUGUGCGGCUCAGUGUGGGAACACCUCCAGCAUCCCAGUUCCCAUUUCAGAUCCCAGCAUCGCUCCCUGUGGUGCUCCCAGCACCAACCCCAGCACAGCACCCCCCCAGGACAGACACCUUCUGGACAAGCACAGCCCUACAGAGGAACACUGCCCUGAUUUCCAGCCCCCUUUGGAUGAGGACAUUUCCGUUCUAUGGGAAACCAUAUUUUAAAGUGUAGUUUUUGUUCCAAAUCUGGAUAAAAAGCCCCAAAUUUUCCUCCCAGCCAAAUUUUUUUCAUUCCGAGACUCAUCCAAGCACUUCAUCUGAUAACUACAGCAAAAACAUUUUGCUUCAAUAGCACCGAAACGGAGUAUUGUCAUCUUUACCCUCUGCACCGAUGCCAAAGUCAAAUUGAGACAUUUUGACUUGAAACAAAGCAAGGAAUGGAAAUGAAUCAUUACAGCCAUCCCGUCAGGAUACACACAGCGCUGUGAGAACGGGUGUGGAGCUGUGGCUUUGGCCAUCUAAACAGGAAUAACACAGUUGCUGGUCCUGGUUUCCAUUCCUACAGCUCGCUCAUCCCAUCCACUCCCCUGGGGUGUCAGCACCGAGUGCUGCGUCCUUUCCAUGCUGCACAUGGUCACAUUCAAAACAGAUAGUAAAUGCUGCCUUCAAAACUCAAUUAUCUUGCUCAAGACAGACUGGCAAAGUAGGCAAUGCCGGGGUGUAAUUAAAAGCACAUUUCCCACGGCACGCACAGUGUCAGAGGUAACUAAAGCUGCUGCUGGGUAGGGAGCAUCCUUCCCUGCAUUGCACAGAGUCACUGCCCAGCAGUUCUGGUGCCUCUUCCUCUCCUAUCAGCAGCUGCCGUGCACACAGCCCUGCUGGGCGCUCUGCUUGGGUUUCUAAUCUGUCCUCACGCCUCCUUCAUCACUGCCAACGACAUCCCAAACACCCAGAUCCCGUCCACUUACAUUGAUGAGGGCCAUGAUCCAGAAGGCGUAGGAGACGCGUGUGACCACCAUGCCCUUCAUGGGCAGGUCGUAGUGGGACAGGUUGCCCGGGUGGUGCGGCACCAGGGACUUGCGGAUGUGGGGCAGGUUGCUGGAGGCAUUGGCCGUGCUGUUGGACAGGAUGCAGUUGGUGUCAGAGAGGAAGGGGUCGGCUAUCAGGGGGCUCAGCAGCGCUCCGAAGCCCACGAAGAAAUGCAGAGCCUGUGGGACGAGGCAGGGCUGUGGUCACGGAGGAGGAGGAAGCACAGCCGGGGUGGUCAUGGGCUCUGUGCUCACCUGCAGGAAGAUGGCAGAGUCCUUCUGGUAGAUCUUCACCAGCUGCAUGUUGGAGAUGGUGUCGAUGCAGCCCAUGGCCAGGCCUGCCACGGCCAUGACCACAGCCAGCACCACCACAUUGUGGCACAGUGGGAUGAUGGCAAAGACCAGGGAGAUGGCCAGGGAUGAGGCGAAGAGCGCAAAGAGUGACUGAGCCAACCUGGAGCAGGAAGGGGGAAGAAAAAAGAAUUACCCCCGUGAGAGCCACGUCUGCACCACAGCACUGCAUUGUGUUCUCAGCCCCAGGCCAGCUGGUGGCACAGGUAUCAGCAGGACGUGUCCAUGGGCUGUAUCUCCUGCUAACGCUGCUCCAGCAUGUGCUCUUCUGAUGCUGCACUUGGGAUGCUGAGCACCUUGCUCCCUUUCCGUGCAUCCUCAUCCAGCCACCACCACCCCACAGCACGGCCAUCUCCUGCCUCAAAGAGCUGCCCCUUCCAGCCAGUUUUCAAGGAGAAGAGGAACCAUCUCUAGAAACCCAUUCUGCACAUUCCAAGGCAGAAGAGGGAUGAGGACCUCCCCUUGUUACCUGCACGGAUCUGCAUUCUCCCUCCAUGCCCUGCUCUGUGCUCUGCUCGGGCAGCAUCUGCAUCCUGCAGAACAGAGCCCAGGUUGGCACUGUGCUGCACUGGAGCUGCCAAGUGGGAAGGCAGGAAGGAAGGAAGGAAGGAAACGGGGAGCAGACAGCUGAGUGCUGGAACCACUGAGGCCAGCAGAAAGAUGGGACUUCAGAGUCACAGCACUGAGUAAAUAGCAGAGGCACCUCCCAGCCUGAGAGGAGCCCGGGGCGAUGACCAACAGCUCACAGAAAUGAGGUGUAAUUAGCAGCUAGGGGAACACAUGGGCAUAGGACCAGCAAGCGGAACGCCCACAGAGGCAGAAGUGAUGGGCAGCAGGAUGGCUCAGCCCCAGGCACACCACUGUCCUUCUGCACAGCCCUCCUUCAUCCCAAACCCACAGCAGUCUGACCUCCCACAUCCUGCCUGUGGCUUGUGCUGUGCUUCAGCAGCAUGGGAAGGAACAGCAUGAGGGCAGCUGCCCCUUGUCAGCUGGUGGCACGAGGUGCUCACAGCCUCCAUCCUGCAGGAGCCCAUGGUUUGCAGAGCCCUAAAUGCUGACCUCCCCGUGACAGCACCCAGUGAUCCCACAUGGGGAUUUGCAGUGAGGGAGUGAGAUGCAUGUGGGGAAAGCAGUGAGCACAUGAGAGGGAAGCAGCCUUGAGCCUGCAGGGAGGCUGGGAGUGAUGGAGCAGUGUGCACCGAGACAUCCGUGAGACACCUCUUCUCUUCUGCAGGCCCAGCACUGCUGGUGCCACACUCAUUACCGGAGUUAAAUAUUAAUUGCAAAUAAUGCGAUGUCCUCAUAAAGCACUGAAUAGCUCACUUUGACGUUCCCAAAGUGCAAAAACUGCCUGCAGCUGUAUGACAUUCAUCACACACUCACACCCCCAGACAGUGGUGUGCAGCCUGGGGGGCACCCAGCACUGCCUUUGGGUGUGCUGAAGGGUCAUACCUUCCCCCAACAUAGCAUCCAGAUGCUCUCGAGGGCACUGCUCAGCCCUGCACAGCAGCUGGGGGUAUCUGCAGAUGUUUCCCCUUGGGAAGCAUCCUCAAAGGAGACACCCCAGGACUUCAGAGCGGCUCCGAACCCCACAUCCCAAUGGUGUGAAACUGAUGUGCCCCUCCAAAAGGCAUCCAGAUGUAGUGCCAUGAUGCAGCACUCAGCACCUCCCCCUCCCUGUGUCCCCAGCAGAGCUCCCUGCCAGCAGCCACCUCCUGUCCCAGGCGCUCAGGUGUGAAACAAGGCCAGUAGCAUCACAAAAGCUCCUUUGAUUUUCAGCACAAAUACUGAUUGUGAAAAGGAUCCUUCUGCUUUUUUGGUUCCUGGAGCGCUCAGCACACCUGGCUGCAUCGCAACCCAAGAGAGGAUCCACACGUGACACCCAGAGGUCCAGGCUGACCUCCAUAAGAUGCAGUGCUGCACUAUAUCAGUGCCAGCAAACUCUCCUUCUCCCCCCCACGCAGUACACGUAACCCCCAGCUCACUGCUCCUGCAGCACCCUCCAACUUGAAGGAUGGUUUUCCAGACCUCAGGAAGCAUAUUCUACAUCCCUCAAGAAGACAAAUGACCAUCAGGUUAAUUCCACUUCUGCAAAAGCCAUAAUUAAAAACCCAGAGCCCUAAGAGGAUGAGGGGAGGGCUGGGGGGUGCCAUCUCACACCCCUCCUGCUCCAGCUGUGCUGUGCCUUUGGGCAGAGCCUGGGCAGGGCUCCAGCACAGGACAGCCUCCCCCCAAGCCCUCUGCUCUCCUGUUAAUGCCAAUAGGAUGAGCUCAGGCUGUUCUGACAUCGGGAGCAAAAGCAAAAAUGCAAGAGGACACAAAAAUGCAGCUUCAGGAUGGGGAAAAAGCAAACUGAGGCACAAGCAGUCUGGUGCUUCUGUCACGAGUGCACGUGGCACAGUAGCGUGGAGGGAGCACAACUUCACAAUGCAAGCAUAACAUCCAUCCAAAUGGAAAAGGUAAAGGCAAGGAAUGCAAGAGGGGAUGCAGGUGCACGGAGCUCACGCCUGGAUUUUGCAGUGCUUCGGGAUGGGUUCACCUGAGGUGUCAGCUCCCACUGUGAAUUCCAAGUCCAGGCAGUGUUUUGAGCCCCAGACCCCAUCCCCACUCACGCAAAGGAAUGAUUUCGCAGCACCACAUGAAAAGCUGAAUUCUGAGCCAGAGAUGCAACUACAGCUGAGCAAACCCCGAGCACGAGUUUGCAGAGAGCAGAGCACGUUGUGAGCCUGAGCUGCACCGCGUGCAUCGCAGCAGUGGGGGCUGCUCUGCCAUCCCACCAGCAAAGCAGCUGCUGGGCACUGAGCACUGCAAGCACCAGCCGUGUUUUUGCACUGCUCAUGGUGAGAAAGUUUCUUCUUUGAAAGCCAGCAGGAAUUUUGGAGCUCAUCCUGGCAACCAAAAUGGACACUGAGUUGCAGAGGGAUUCGGGCCAUCGUUACGCUCUGAACUCGCAGUGCUGCAGGACUCCAACCCCACAUUCAGCAGCUUCCCUGGGGCGAGGAGUGCUGGGACAGCUCAUGAACUGGGACAACAGCUGUUGGUGCCCCAGUGCCACCUUCACCUACCAACACUUCCCACUCAGUUCCCUUCUCAAUUCACGAGACAGGAGUUGAACGAAGCGUUUCCAAACGGGUGCCUUACAGAAGUGAAGCACUUAUGCAAGAUUCCUUUCCGUGCUUGUUAAAUAUAUACGUGCGUGACGUAUGGAGACGCACAUGGAGGUGUGUUACACCACAGCCCAAACGAUUACCAACAAUGUAAAUAAUCAGCUGAUUCGCCCUACAGCAAGGCUGUCCAUCGCACCUCGCACCAAACGCAGUUGGCAGCCCUUAGGGCUGAGCCCUGGGCUCUCUAAAGACACCCCGGAGAGUGGGAUCGGGGUGUGCUGUCCCAGUGACCCCCCACAGGCUCCCGAGCAUCACCUCCCGACCCCCGGGGUUAUCGAACCGGGUCACCGCAACGCCCUCGAUCCACGGUUCGGAAAACAUCCUCCAGGAAGUUCUCACUGCAACUUCGCUGUCCCCGUCCCGAGCUGCGGGGAUCGCGUCGUUCCGUGCGGGUGGGCGCGGAGCCGCCCCGCAGCCCAAUCCCUCCGUCCCGCAUCUCCGCGCCCGUCUCAGCCCCACGGACCCGGGGGGGUGGGCAGCGCUGCCCCCCCUCCCUCCCCCCGGAGCAGAGCAGCCCUUACGUCCUCUUGAAGACCCCUCCGAGGCAGCUGCCGAGCAGGAGGCAGAACUGCUGCGAGAAGAAGACCCAGGUGAUCUGCGAGAGCGAGCUCUGUGUCUGGCAGCGCAGGUCCAGCAGCGUGGGCCCCAGAAAGGCGAUGCAGAGGCCGAAGCUGAAGAAGACGCUCCAAUAGGUGAGGGUGGGCUGCAGGUUCCUCCGGAACCGGGCCGAUACCCGCUCGUCCCACCACAUCCUGGGCGGCGGCGCGGGGCGGCCCGCGGAGAUGCGGCUCCCGCACCGCCCGGCCCCGCUGCCAGCCCGGCCCCGCCGCCGCCCCGCUCCCCGCUCCUCCUCCCCGGGCUGUGGCUCCGAAGCCCGCCGGCCGCUGACUCCGCCUCCGGGACCGGGGACCGCCGCCGCCUCCCGGGGACGGGCGGAGCCUUCCUCCGGCGGGCGGUGCGGUACGGAACGCACGGAGCCCACCCGGAGCCCCCCGAGACUUCAGCGCAUCCCCGCGGGGGCAGAGAACCGUCCGAACCGCCACCCCCAGCAUCACCUCCGGGUGGGGUGGAGCAGCAUCGCACCCAGAGAGAGGUGGGCAGCUCCCACUGCGCUGUCCGAGCCUAGCUGCUCAGAUUGCAUCCAACGCAACAGAAAACAGAGCAGCCACCAAAGCCCUCACUCUGCUGCCUGAGCGCCGUGCCCGUAAAUAAAGACAACCGCUCCAGACAAAUGCAAUUAAAGGUGUCUGAGCCCCUCCUGUGGAUAGGAAGAGCUGUGAGAUGGGCUGUGGGAGUGUGUGCAUUUUGGAGUUGGAGCGGCUGAUGCUUACGCAAAAGGUCUCCUCUAGAGGCUGAGAUUAUAAAUAUUUCACCUACUUUAGGGAAGGACUGCAAUUUUUAGAUCGCUCUUUCCAGGCAAAGUAGAAUCGCUGGAGCUGAGCUGCGGGUAUUGCUGCCCCAGUGCCACAACCCCACAGCUGUACUCAGCAUCCCGUGACCCACAUCUCAGGAAUGCUGCUCCGGGUCACAGGUGCUCAUUUCCACCUGGACAUAGCUUAAUGUUUAGCUAAUCCAAAUUGCAUCCGAGUCCCAGUUCUGCCACCUCCAUGGCAUCCGCAGGUGACCUCCCAGGUAAGGAGGGCAGCUACUGAGCGUGGGCAGCACCACGGAGGAGGUGGGGGAUGGAGCCCUGAUUGUUGCUGGGCACCCACAGCUGAAACCAAGGAGCCACAGAGCAGCUCAGCUACGAGGGAUGGAGCAGUGCUGUUAAGCGGUUCACCAAUGGGGAAACUGAAGGCUCAUGGGGCUGGAGGGGCCUGUGUGGAGCUUCUCAGUAUUGAAUGAGACGUUUAAUGCAUAUCCUCAAGUUCUGUAGGAGAGCUUGGGAGUAUUCUGGUUUUACAGCACGUAAAAUGCCACCACCCUGAAAUGACCACAUCCCUCCUGCUGGCAGCAACCACUCUGAUUUGGAGAGCUCUGUUUUCUUGCUUCCAGGUGGCAAACGAGGAAGCGAACCCUUUAUGGACGGUCAGAUGCACAGCAUCUUCAGCAGAGAUCAAUUCCAGGGCACCAGAUGGGCAGGAGACCCAUGGUCUGCUCCUGCCUUCAUUGCUGGCUCACCGUAACCCAACAGCAUCAGCUCUUUGGGCUUUGUGUUGUGACAGAGCUGAGCAGUUCCCACACCUGGACAAAGCCACCGCACCCCAACCCCAUGGCUAUAGGGGUCAGCACAGCCCCAUGGCAACCCCGACCCCCAGCCCCACUUUGCAGAGCAAUGCCAUAAAGGCCGGUGCACGGCUUCCAGGAAUAUCAACCCAUUCCAUCAGGGCUGACACAAACCAUGCAAGAUCUGCUUGCAAAUAAAAAAUGCAGCGUGGGUGGGUUUGUCAGCACAAGAACGCACAGAUCCUUCCACAGAUCCACAGAGGGAGCUCAUAAAAAUGCAAGCCGUGGGGCUCUGAGUGUGUGCGACCAGAAUUAGCUUUGUGAAGAGGCACUUUGGGCUGUUUUCCAAACUGAAGCCAAUGUUGUGCUUGCAAUGAAUCAAACACCCUCCUCGCUGCAAAGUGCAGAAGUGAAUGAGUGAACCGCCGGAGCAGCAGCGUCUCCGAGCUGGUGCUGCUCAAAGGGAUGUGAGUUUGAGGAACACCUUUUGCUUCCUAUGUGCUCGCCCAUCCUUCACAUCAGAUCAGCUGGUUCUGUUCAGCCAGUGGAGCGAUUGCUACUUUGCCUUGGCUGGUUCUGCUCCGGUGUGAUUGCUCCCGAAGGAAGGUUUUGCUCAUCUUGGCUGCUGUGUUUGUGCUGCUUCUAUGAGGACGCUCCGGGAUGAAGCACUGCAGGGACACGAGGAGGUGCUCACCCCGUGCACAGCACAGCCAGCAGUGCCAACACGCAGUGCGAGGUGGAGCAGCUGGCACUGCUCUGAGGUCGGGCACUCUGCGGAGCUCUCAGUGCAGUGCAGACACGUGUCGGGGAGGAGGAAGCGCUGCGUGUUUUCCUACCCGCUGAAAUCGCUCCACACACCCACUGCAGUCAGGCUGGGAUCAGCAGGGCUUCCUCCUGCGCUGUGCCAACGCAGCACAGAGCCCUUCUGGGUCACACCUGGGAGCAGUGGGUUGCACUGAGAGCCCCAGGAGAGCUGCGGUGCAGCCGGAGAGGGCUCACACACAGCUGCAGGGCACGAGGGUGCCCUUCGGGAUGAGUUGGUGCCAUCCGGGCGCAUCCGGCUGCGCCGUGCCCAUGGGCGGAGGAUGUGGCCGAGGCCGCCCGGCUGCAUUCCCCGGCGCUAUGGGAUGAGGGAGGAGCAACCCCAGUGCUGCCCGGCCCUGCUGUGACUCAGGUGGAUGGGUGCUGCUGUAGGGGCAGCCCAGGGACCACAGCCCCAAAGUCCCCCCUAUGCUCCAUGUCAGACCCUUCCCACAUCUCCCCGGCAGCUGUUGCACCACAGAGCAGCGGUACCUACAGGGGACUGCCAUGCCGAAUAGCCUCAACCCCGGGGAUUUUCAGGUGCCAAAGCAGUGGGGAACAGCACUCCCCCAUCCAUGCACUGGCAUUGCCCUUGAGUCACUUUGCAGCCUUGGGCCGGGCACAGCUCUGCUCUUUUAUCGGCCUGAUUAACUUAUGGCAAUAUUUGUUCAGGGCUUUAGGAUCCACGUAAGGGACUGCAGAAACACAUUCCCAUUGUGCUCGAGCCCCUCCGGCGUUGGCUUUCAGCCUCUUGCAAAGGUCACAGGGAAGGAAACUCAUUCCAGGUCAGAGCCUUCUACCAGACAGAAGAGAGCAAACUCACAUCGCACACAAACACCCCACAACCAACACAUCUCAUUGCCCAUAUUGGCUGUGGAGCACUCACAGUAACAGAAGCACAGCCCCACAAUGGUCUGUGCCACAGCUGACAUACAACUGAAUAUAACACACACACAUGGUUGAUCGAUGGGCACAGCCUUUUAUUCCUAUUUUUGCUUGUUUCGCACCUUUCCAUUUAUCCCAGAAAAAAAAUCUCCCUUUCUCUCUCUCUCUCUCUAUAUAUAUAUAUACAUAUAAAAAAAAAAUCAUUGCUUAUUUUUGGAGUAAACCUUUUGAAACCACUUCUUUUAAAACACAACCUCCGUCCAUACAGUGGUGCAGCCAUCAGCAUUCUGCAAAUGGAGCACAACAGGGGAUGCUCACAGUGGGACCCUGAGCGCUCUGGGACACGUUUUCCUGCUGCAGGACAUGGGGCUGAAGCUGUUCCUGUGCUGCACCCCACCUGUACUGCAGCAAUGGGUGCUGCCCUCAAUUCUGACCAAAGGGGAAUACAAAACCACAGCAGGAGCGGUGCAUGGACCGGAGCUGCUGAGGGCACAAAGCAAUGCAGCCUUUCCCCAGAGUGCAGCCAGAAUUGGUUGGAAAAAAUAAAAAAAUGCAAGAAAAUAAUGCCUGGAAGACAAAACAACAGCUCCCAAUCCAUGCUGGGUGCCACAAAAUGGAAAAAAAAAAAAAAAAAAAGAA